rnacentral:rRNA from 1 species
UACAGAGGGUGCAAGCGUUGUUCGGAAUUAUUGGGCGUAAAGGGCGCGUAGGCGGUGCGGUAAGUCUGUAGUGAAAUCUCUGGGCUCAACUCAGAGUCUGCUGCAGAAACUGCCGUGCUUGAGUGUGGGAGAGGUGAGUGGAAUUCCCGGUGUAGUGGUGGAAUGCGCAGAUAUCAGGAGGAACACCGGUGGCGAAGGCGGGUCUCUGGGCCACUACUGACGCUGAGAAGCGAAAGCAUGGGGAGCGAACAGG